GACGAACGCUGGCGGCGCGCCUAACACAUGCAAGUCGAACGAGCGAGAGAGAGCUUGCUUUCUCGAGCGAGUGGCGAACGGGUGAGUAACGCGUGAGGAACCUGCCUCAAAGAGGGGGACAACAGUUGGAAACGACUGCUAAUACCGCAUAAGCCCACGGGUCGGCAUCGACCAGAGGGAAAAGGAGCAAUCCGCUUUGAGAUGGCCUCGCGUCCGAUUAGCUAGUUGGUGAGGUAACGGCCCACCAAGGCGACGAUCGGUAGCCGGACUGAGAGGUUGAACGGCCACAUUGGGACUGAGACACGGCCCAGACUCCUACGGGAGGCAGCAGUGGGGAAUAUUGCACAAUGGGGGAAACCCUGAUGCAGCGACGCCGCGUGGAGGAAGAAGGUCUUCGGAUUGUAAACUCCUGUUGUUGAGGAAGAUAAUGACGGUACUCAACAAGGAAGUGACGGCUA
rnacentral:rRNA from 1 species